rnacentral:lncRNA from 12 species
CACAGGUUGGGGAUGCCCCUCAGGUAUAGACCGAGGGGUGCUGGAUCAGGGUAGACAGGGCUUCCCUUCUGACGAAGCAGAGGAGACCACGUGAGUCCCAGAGACUCAACAGUGAAUGGAGAAGAGGGCCAGGCCCAUCUCGCCGAAGGUCCAAUAAGGCCGAGACUCAGUGACCCGGUUUCAGAGUGGCAAGAGGCCUAUGGAGACUGACCCUCUGAACUACAGCUGAGGCCCAGAGAGGGCCACAUGCUGAAUUACAGCUCCGGAACAUGUCCAGGUAACCCCCAGAACCUGAGAAUGUUCUUAUACAGCCAAAGGGGCUUUGCAGGUGUGACUGAAUUAAGGUGCUUGAGAUGGAGGUGAUGCAGGAGGAUGCAUCAGGAGAUGCAGGAGGGUCCGGUGGUGUGUUGACCGAGCAGAGACUGGAGUGAGGCCCUCUGAAGACAGAAGGAAGGGACCACAACCCAAAGAAUGCAGGUGGGUGCCAGAGGCUGAGUUCGGCGAGGAGACAGAUAGUCUCCUAGAGCCUCCAGGAGAACGGGCCCUGCUAACACCUUGACUUCAGCCUGGUCAGGCUGAUUUUGGACAUCUAGCCUGCAGAACUGUACGAGAAUAAAUUUGUUUUGUUUUAAGCCACUCAGUUGGGGGUGAUUUGCUGCAGCAGGCACAGGGAGUCAAACUUGCCUGGAGACACACAGCUGAGACUGUUCUCUGUCCUUGCGGAUCCUUGUCCCAUGAGGGGUCGGACUGGGCAAGGGGUACAGGUGAGGCCCUCAGGGGCCCAGAUGCCACACUUGGUGAGAUCCUGGGCCUCUGAGGGGGGUGUGUGUGUGUGUUAGAGAGAAGGGAAGGACAUGCUUUCUUCACGCAUUAGAGGAUUUUCUGGGCAGACGAUCCUUCAAAGGCAUGUCAACAUUUUUCUCUCCAGGAAAAAAAUAUCUCAAUCCCUGUCAAAGAAAAUCACAGUAUGUACAAGCACAUACAUGGACGGACUUGUGGGUCCUACCCCACCUGUUCCAGGGGUCUCUUAUUUUCCCAGGGCAGGGAGGAAAGCUGAGGAGGGCCGGGAACCACCAGCCAGGGCACUGUGGACACUCUGUGGACCUCUGGGAUGGUACAGGGGACAUCCCUGUCCUGGAGAAUGUUGAGAUUGCUCACCUGUUUUUCUCUUUUCUCCUUCCAAGCCCAAGCAUAGAUACCUGUGCACAGUCACAGGGGCGCCCACAGACCCAUGAAGUCAUGAGCAGUGCUGGCGCGUGCAAGAAGGAAGUUGUCGAUCUCAGUUGUGUCUACCUUCCACCUCCACCUCACCGAUUCCCCCAGGCAGAAAAAAAAGCAUCGCUUUCAGUGCUAAGUCCGGAGGUUGCAGAUGGCCAAAGCCCACCUCCAAUGGGCUUGGCCAAAAGGUGGUAUUGAAGAGCUGGCCCGACCAGGCCAAGGAUAAAGCAGGCCUCAGGGAAGUCUAGAAUGAGGCCUGCUCACCCCGCUGGGUCAUUCUCUCCUCUCUCAGAGGCUGGAGGCACCACCAUUUCUUCAGCAGACAGGCUUCGCCUUGCUCAGGUAGGGAAAGUCACCUGGGCUCUUCAGGAUUGCAUUCUCCUGGUUCCCUGACUAGAAAGGAAAUUGCACCAUGCUCCCAGAUUUGGUUAGGAAAAAGUCCCAAGGAAGAACUCUGAUUGGCUCUGCCUGAGUCAUGUGCCCAGUCCUGGACCAAUGGCUGUGGCCAGCGGACACGUUACUAUGACUAUCUCAGAUUGUGUCACUUGCCCAACCCUGUGGCCCUGGGGGGAAAGAGGUACAGGGCAGACAGACAUAAGAACCUCUUUACUGUGCACUUGGGGUUUCAUGUGAAAGAACUGCCACUUGGCUCCUGGUAAUAAUUUUUCCUUUCUCCAGUAGAACAAAAAGUGUUUACUGGAUACAUGGCUGCCUGGAAUAAAAACUACAUUUCCUAGGCUCCCUCGCUGGGA